AUAAAAAUCAACUUUGUUGGUGAAUCAUAAUAACUUCUCGGACCGCAUGGCCUCGUGCUGGCGGUGCUUCAUUCAAAUAUCUGCCCUAUCAACUGUCGAUGGUAGGAUAGAGGCCUACCAUGGUUGCAACGGGUAACGGGGAAUAAGGGUUCGAUUCCGGAGAGGGAGCCUGAGAAACGGCUACCACAUCCAAGGAAGGCAGCAGGCGCGCAAAUUACCCAAUCCCAACACGGGGAGGUAGUGACAAUAUGUAACAAUAUACGGCCUUAUACGUCGUAUAAUUGGAAUGAGUACAAUUUAAAUCCCUUAACGAGGAACAAUUGGAGGGCAAGUCUGGUGCCAGCAGCCGCGGUAAUUCCAGCUCCAAUAGCGUAUAUUAAAGUUGUUGCAGUUAAAAAGCUCGUAGUUGGACCUUGGACCUGGACAGGCGGUCCGCCUCACGGCGAGUACUGUCUCGCUGGGUCUUUCCUCUUGGUGAUCUGUUGUUUCGGCAG
rnacentral:rRNA from 1 species